rnacentral:rRNA from 1 species
CUACGGGUUGCCCCAGUGGGGAAUAUUGGACAAUGGACGAAAGUCCGAUCCAGCGACACCGCGUGGGGGAUGAAGGCUUUCGGGUUGUAAACCCCUUUUCUGGAGGAAGAAUAAGGUUGGGAGGAAAUGCCCAUCCGAUGACGGUACUCCAGGAAUAAGCAUCGGCAAACUUCGUGCCAGCAGCCGCGGUAAGACGAAGGAUGCGAGCGUUAUCCGGAAUUACUGGGCGUAAAGGACGUCUAGGCGGUUGGAUAAGUCAUUUGUGAAAUCCCAGGGCUUAACCCUGGAAGGUCUUGUGAUACUGUCCGGCUUGGGUGUAGGAGAGGAGAGCGGAACUCACAGAGUAGCGGUGGAAUGCGUAGAUACUGUGAGGUACCCCGAUGGCGAAGGCAGCUCUCUGGCCUACUACCGACGCUGAAGCGUGAAAGCGUGGGGAGCAAAGGGGAUUAGAUACCCCUGUAGUC